CUACGGGUUGCAGCAGUGAGGAAUUUUGCGCAAUGGGGGCAACCCUGACGCAGCAACGCCGCGUGAGUGAAGAAGGCCUUUGGGUCGUAAAGCUCUGUCAACAGGGAGGAAGUUACUUCAUAUUAAUAGUAUGUAGUAUUGACGGUACCUGUGGAGGAAGCAUCGGCUAGCUCCGUGCCAGCAGCCGCGGUAAUACGGGGGAUGCAAGCGUUAUUCGGAAUCAUUGGGCGUAAAGGGCACGCAGGCGGCUCUGUCAGUCAGAUGUGAAAGCCCGGGGCUCAACCCCGGACGUGCAUUUGAAACAGCAGAGCUUGAGUACGGUAGAGGAAAGCGGAAUUCCUGGUGUAGAGGUGAAAUUCGUAGAUAUCAGGAGGAGCACCGGUGGCGAAGGCGGCUUUCUGGACCGAAACUGACGCUGAGGUGCGAAGGCGUGGGUAGCGAACAGGAUUAGAUACCCCUGUAGUC
rnacentral:rRNA from 1 species